ACUUAAGUAGCUAAAAUCAUAGCGUUUCAUUGAAGCUGAAAAGUUGACAUUAAAAUGUCUUUGAGU
rnacentral:tRNA from 1 species